UAGUGGCGUACGGGUGAGUAACACGUGGGUAACCUGCCCUUGAGACCGGGAUACCCUCUCGAAAGGGAGGCUAAUACUGGAUACGUUCCCCGGGGCGCAAGACCUGGGGAGGAAAGGUGGCGAAAGCUGCCGCUCUUGGAGGGGCUCGCGGCCUAUCAGCUAGUUGGUGAGGUAACGGCUCACCAAGGCUAUGACGGGUAGCUGGUCUGAGAGGACGACCAGCCACACGGGAACUGAGACACGGUCCCGACUCCUACGGGAGGCAGCAGUGGGGAAUUUUCCGCAAUGGGCGAAAGCCUGACGGAGUGACGCCGCGUGGGGGACGAAGGCCUUCGGGUUGUAAACCCCUGUCAGAGGGAAAGAAGGGUGUCGGCGUGAAUAGCGCCGGCAUCUGACGGUACCUUCAGAGGAAGCCCCGGCCAACUCUGUGCCAGCAGCCGCGGUAAGACAGAGGGGGCAAGCGUUGCUCGGAAUCACUGGGCGUAAAGGGCGCGUAGGCGGGAUGGCAAGUCGGUCGUGAAAUCCUUCGGCUCAACCGAAGAACGUCGGCCGAUACUGCCGUUCUUGAGGGAUGCAGAGGAGAUUGGAAUUCCCGGUGUAGCGGUGAAAUGUGUAGAGAUCGGGAGGAACACCGGUGGCGAAGGCGGGUCUCUGGGCAUCUCC
rnacentral:rRNA from 1 species